rfam:Neocallimastix californiae strain G1 LY90scaffold_90, whole genome shotgun sequence.
AUCCAAAUAGUGUAGUGGUUAUCACGUUUGCUUUACACGCAAAAGGUCUCCGGUUCGAACCCGGGUUUGGGUA